rnacentral:lncRNA from 1 species
CAGCAUGUUUAGACAUUUAUACAUAUUACAACUCCAAAGAUGAAUGAAUAUCCUAAAUACUACUAAAUUGGUAACAUUUGUACUAUGAAAUUAACAUAAACAUUUAAGUAUCUUCAUAAUCACGCAUAUACACAGUUGUUGCCUUCCCAGAUUUUUUGAGUGAGAAUGGUACCUGGAAUUACAGCAAAAGAGAUCCUAUGAGUAAGGUAAACGUGAAGCAAACAAGCACCAACAACCAAAUUAACCAGUAAACCCAGUAAUGUAUCAAGAACUCAGGAAAUUUUGAGAAGCAACACAAAUUUAGAUCCUUAAUGCAUAUUCCUCAAGUCAUCUUCAACUUCUAAUGAAUGGAACUUUUUAUUAUUAUAGAAGAUUUUGCCAGGUAAACUUAAAAUUGAUUUUCAGCUGAGGGUUCUCGACCUUUUCUUCGGAAUGUAGAUAUAAAAAAUGUAUCUAAAGUGUAUCUAAAAGUGCAUCCCCUGUAUAUCUAAAAAUUGUCACCCUUUUAAACAAUCAGACGUCUCUUUUAUAACCAAAACCUUAUGGCAACAAAAUCUUUUUUGUUUUCCUUUUAGUCCCUUACCCAUUUUUCAGAUUUGCCUAAUUUAUCCUUGAAUUUCUAACUUGUGCCUCAAGUUAUAUCUGAGGAUGGGGUUAUAUCUGAGGUUUGAUUUCUAGGUCAUCGAAAAGAGGAGGACGUGGGUAGUUAGGGGCGCAUUUUUUGUUGGGAUCUAAGCUUUGCCGGCGGUGGAGACGAUUUCCAGCCGACGGCGGAUGGUGGGUCUAUGGUGGUUCAUGGGUUCUGUUUCACCGGUGACUGUUUAUACGAGGAAGGCCAAGUUUGUCUCUCAGUAUAACACAUGUGUUUGUACAUAUAUUGGUUUUGGGAAGGGAGUUUCAGGGCCGUUGGAUCAAUAUUAAUGGAUGGCUGAGAUUGAUUUCCCCAAAACGAUGUUGUUUUAGGGCAUCUCUUAUAUCAGCUUAGGUCAGAGAGAAAUGAACAAGAUAAAAAAAUAUUUUUGGAUUUCAGUUUUUGAUUACCUAAGGAAGAAACUUUAAAGAUAAACAAAAGAUAAAGAAAUUUUUUUCUCUAUAUUAUAUCCUAAAGUUCUAGUCAAAAUAGAAACAAUAUACUUUUUUUGUUUUAUUAAUUUCCGUAAGAGGGCUCAAAGGAAAAUCUUAUUGGCUUUUAGAAUAAAGAUCUUAAAGAAAACUUGUAAAGAGAUAUCAAAAGAGAAAAAUUUCAUUUUUUGAGUUUUUAGUCCUAGUAUCCUAAAGGAAAUAUAAAAGCAGUUUUUUGAGUUCUAGAUAUCAAUUUUCUAAAGGAAAAACCACCUCAAAAUUUCUUUUUUUUUCUAGGAGUAUUAUUUCUAAAGAAAAUGCUAACGACAAUAUAAAAACAUAAAAUAUCUUUUUUUGAAUUUUUGAUUUAUAAUAUAUUUUUCAAAUACAAAAUAUGAAAUAAUAACAAAAUACUCGACAAACUUAACUAGACUAUGACAGACUCUAGAAUAACUAAUUGAUUGAAUACGACUACACAAUACUAGAAAGUGAAACAUGAGCAAUAGACUCGAAAAAAAACUCCUCAGACAGUUCCUGAAUGCAGUGGCCCUGGGUAUUUGUCAUGCUCAAACUCCGGUAAGUAGAUCCACACAUUUAUGAGAAAACUAAAACCAACACUAUUUGAGAGAAUAACAUUCUCUAUUAGAGACAUGCAAGAUAUGGUUGUGACUGUUUUUCUAAAAUUAACCUAUGUGGCUAAAAAUGGCUAAAUAUGCAAGAUUUGGCUAAGAACUCGCGAAGCAAAGAACCUAAACUCACAAGAAAGACUCCACUCUACAUGGGUUGUCUACGUAUCAUGCUCCGAAAGACGAGAAUCAGGUAUGCGUAGUUCGUGCAGAUUGGAUACGGGCGACAAUUUAAAAAAAAUUAAUUUAGAGAAAAUAUAUUUUUGGUCUUUUUAUAUAGAAAAAUGAUGAAACAUGUAAACUCUUUUUGGAUUUUCUUUUUCUACUUUUUUAUUAAAAAAAUGAUGGGAAAGUUCAAAAUCUUUUUUGAAUUUUUCAUGUUUUUUUUCUUUUAAAAAAAACAUGAAAGAAAAACAUAACUGGGUCCUACUUAAUUUAUUUUUUUAUACUUCAUCCUCUCUUUUUUUCAUUUAUAUGCAACCAUCAUUGAUCCGCCAAAUGACCCAUUUUUCCCUUGAGGAUUGCAACAUGUAGCACAUAAGAUGCAACAGGAUAGUCUUUUAUUUUUGGGUUCACAUGUCCUAGAUGGACCCAACCCCUAUGUUGAGUCUCCAAAGUUAGAUGCAUAUGAUGCAAACAAGCAUUUCUAUUAGGGAUCCAGCAUGAGGCUAUGUUAUUCUAGGUUUAAAAACAUGGGUUUAUUUAUUCUAGACUUGGCUUACCAAGCGGAUAGCUCAAGCCGAAGGGGAGUGGAGGUAGGCAGCAUACCGGGAAUACAGAAGCUUCACCGGUGUUGCAACUUGUCCGAACCUCGUUCUAAAAUUUGGAUAUGACUGUAACAGAAGAGAAGCUACACGAAGUGCACCCUUCCCAGAUGAUUUAGAAGACUCAGAGAAAGGAGGAUUUCGCAACAAUUUAUAUACAGUUCAACAACAUCAAAGCGGUAAAAAGCAACAUUUAGCACAUUAGUCCAAAUAGGUAAAUAAAACCAAAUAAUAAAUAAGCCAAAUAUAAUAAAUAUUCUAAGCAAAUUCUUGAACCAUGAACCAGAGAUUCUGGGUUCUUGUCCCUAGCAGAGUCAUCAGAGCUGUCACACCUCCUUCUUACUAUCCCCGAAUGGUUAUAAAGGGAGUUUUUUUCAAUUUAAGUGACAAUCAAAAUGAAAUUAUUAUUUAAGAUCAGAGUCGCCACUUGGGAUAAUUUAUGGUAUCCCGUGGUUCACGACACGUUCUAGUUAACCUUAUUGGAAAUUAGAAUGGGAUCACAUGAAAUGUACACCCGGGUAUAUAAUAUGUUUAUUUUAUUAUUAAUAUUCAAAAUUAUGGCAUAGUCACAUGAAAUGCACACCGAAUUUAUGUGAUAUUAAGUCUUAACAUUGCUUGAUUAUCUUAAGUUCCACGACAUAGACAAGCUGCAUGUUCAGUAUAUCAAGGAUUUUGCUCAUGCAGACUUUAUCAUUGGGAUCACUGCUAAGGAUAUCGUCUAUAACCAGAUUAUUUCCUUUUACAAGAAUCAAGGAUAAACACCUUUUCCUCAAGGUGCAUCUGAUUGUUUCUAAGAGAAAAAAAAGGGAAGAUAAAUCAAGGAAUGAUCAUAUUGUUUUUCGUCUUUUUAAAUACUCAAAGGUUUUUGUGUUUGUAAAGAAUAUGAAGUCUAGUUUCUACCCGCAACACCCUAUUUCUGGAGGAAGGUUUAUACAAGAAAGAUCAUAAUACAUUAAGCGGAACAAUUUCUAUUGUAAUAAUAGAACUACACAGAAUAACGAUUCUUGGCACCUCUGUCUAGUUCCUUUGCAUCAUAAUGAAAUAUAAAGCCAAUCGAGUCAUUAUAAUCCAGAAAUACGCACUCCAAAUUAAUUCAAACAUGGAUCUACUAGGAAAUAUGACUCAAAGGGAACAUAACAUAAUACUAAAAAAAUUAUAUAAACUUUCAGAAAUCGCUAACGAUGCAAUCCAAACAAUAAUCGAUUUUCCCCGGCUGUAAUCAAAUAAAGAACAGAAGAAUGGAAAAGGGACCUGUUUAGACGAAACUCAUACUCAAUAUCGAAUCGACAGAUACAAAAUUCAGCUCCACAGUUCGAUUAAGGACAGCUAUCAAAUCGAGAAAAAACCACGAACCAAAUUGAAGCGACGAACAAACCUCAAAUGCAUUUAUUCAUAAAACUUGAAUUUAAAAGAAAGGUUAAGACGAACAUGCCGGAAACUCCGAAUGAAUCGUGAAAGCAAAAUUGACCAAAAGAACCAGAAAUUCGGCCGGCAACCUCUGACAAAAAACGGAACUAUCAAAUGGUAACCUCACCAGCGACCUCGACAGUGACUAUGUUUGUGGCUGGUUUUGGAGUGUUGUACGCUGAAGGAGAUAGUGAUGAAGGGUCAGCUGGUUUCAAGGGAUGAUGUCAUUUGUUGGUUUCUGUGUGUGAGAGUAUUCAGAAUGAAGAAGAAGCAAAAUCAGAUGAGGGAAAUGGCUGAAGGUCUCCUAGUUCUCGUUCGAUGUUGAAGAAGACAAAGGACAGUGGGGGGCUCUUUGGAUAAGAAACGGCAGAUUUCCCAUUUUUUUAUCCCUAGGUCUAAGUUUUUUUUUUGUGUGUAUUUUUCGACUGAUCCUCUCUCUAGUGUCU